AGUUAAGGAUAAGAGAUUUCCUAUUUGGAUUAGGAGUUUAAGUGUUAUUGGAAUUCUUUAGAGUUUUAGCCUAUCUAAACAACCUUAAUAUGAGUUUUAGUGUGAAUUAAAGUCUUGAAAGCUUAUUUAAGUUCUAGCAGGUUUUAAUUUCAGCCCUAGUGGAAACAGUUUUAACGUAUAAAGCUGAAAGGUAAAAUAGUGUUUAAUUUGUAAACGUAGAGAGAGAGACUGCAGAAAUUACAAGAAUCUUUAUGCAUCCGUGUGUUUAGGUUCUAGUUGAUAUUGUUUCAGACGGUUGAGGUGAAGCUUAGUUUAACAACUAGAGAUUAAAGCAGUGGAAUAUCUUUGGUGAUAGAUCAUUGGAGACAUAGAUUGGAGACUUCUUUUGGAGCUAUGUUAAUUGAUGGACUGUUUAAGUAUUUCUUUUCUUAGGAUAGUGAAUUUGUUAGUUGUGGAACUCUUUGAGAUUGUAU